rnacentral:rRNA from 1 species
CCUACGGGAGGCAGCAGUGAGGAAUAUUGGACAAUGGUCGGGAGACUGAACCAGCCAAGCCGCGUGAGGGAGGAAGGUACAGAGUAUCGUAAACCUCUUUUGUCAGGGAACAAAGGCGGGGACGUGUCCCCGGAUGAGUGUACCUGAAGAAAAAGCAUCGGCUAACUCCGUGCCAGCAGCCGCGGUAAUACGGAGGAUGCGAGCGUUAUCGGGAUUUAUGGGGUUUAAAGGGGGCGCAGGCGGUCUGUUAAGUCAGCGGUCAAAGCCCGGGGCUCAACCCCGGCCCGCCGUUGAAACUGGCAGUCUCGAGUUGGAGAGAGGUAUGCGGAAUGCGCGGUGUAGCGGUGAAAUGCAUAGAUAUCGCGCAGAACUCCGAUUGCGAAGGCAGCAUGCCGGCUCCACACUGACGCUGAGGCACGAAAGCGUGGGUAUCGAACAGGAUUAGAUACCCCAGUAGUC